rnacentral:sRNA from 1 species
UCGUCGACGAUGGUCGGCGAGAUGAAGUGGAUGUGCGUGUCGAUGCCGCCCGCGGUGAGUAUCUUGCCGUUGCCCGCGAGGACUUCGGUCUCAGGACCGAUGACGAGGUCGGGGUGCACGCCGUCCAUCGUGUCCGGGUUGCCGGCCUUGCCGAUGCCGGUGAUCCGGCCGUCGCGGAUGCCGACGUCGGCCUUGAUCACGCCCCAGUGGUCGAUGAUCACGGCGCCCGUGAUGACGGUGUCGGGCGUUCCUUCGGCGCGGGUCGCCCGGGACUGGCCCAUCGACUCGCGG